CGCAGGCCUCCCAGGCCACUCCCUGCCUCCUCUGUCCUUGCUGGGGCCUCAGGGCCCCUCUUGCAAGCAGGGAAGGGACCUCGAGCCCCUGGGGAGGGUCCGGUCACAGGACCUGGGCUUUGGGCUGUGGCCUGCAGGGCUGGGGCUAGGCCAGGGCUGUACCAGGGCCCCCCUCCAGGCGGGGAGCCCGCACCUGUCCGCAAGCUCUGGGCACUCAUAGUGCUGCCCUCCCACCACCAGGCGCCUUCCCACCUGUUGACCAUCACAGUUCACGGGGGCGUUAGUCCUAAGGCCAGCCGGGUCUCCGCGAUCCACCCUCCCACUGCUGCCCACGUGACAGCCCAGCCCCAUCAUGGAGCCCUCCCCGUGGCCUGAGCCCCUGUUUGCAUUUGGUUCUCUCAACCACCACCCCAGGCCCGGUGCAUGGCUCCCCUGGCCUCGUGUCACAGCCCCACAGGGCUCCCCGUCCUCACACCCCCUGACAUUGUCCUCAAGACAGAGUGACAGCCAUUCUUCUCCCAACAGUCCCAAGACCACACCGGCUGAGGAAUGAGGGGCUUUCCCAGAACUAUUCCAGGAGUAGCAGGACCCAGGUAUGAAUGCAGGGCUGCCUGCUCCAGAGGCCGAGGCACAGAUAAAGAAACUGAGGCACAGAGAGGGAUAGCCCCCGGGGGCUCACAGGCUGUGAGGAGGUGACCGUAGUUCCAGGAGGAGCCCUUCUCAUCUACAGCUGGAAAAGCCAGUCAUCUUGGUGACGACAGCCCAGAGCUUGGGGGCCCAGGACAGAAGGGAAGAGAAUCUAAG
rnacentral:lncRNA from 1 species